UCAAGCGAACAAGGGCGCAGGGCGAAUGCCUUGGCACUGGGAGCCGAUGAAAGACGUGAUAAGCUGCGAUAAGCUUCGGGGAGCUGCAAAUAAGCAUUGAUCCGGAGAUUUCUGAAUGAGGAAACUCACCUGGGUUCAUACUCAGGUACGUUAUACUGAACUUAAAAAUAGGUAUAUCGAGGGAACCGCCUGAACUGAAACAUCUAAGUAGGGCGAGGAAGAGACAUCAAACGAGAUUCCGUAAGUAGUGGCGAGCGAACGCGGAAGAGGGCAAACCGGGAGUCGAAAGACUUCCGGGGUACGGACUGCUUUUAGGACUUAAUCUGUUAACCGAACGGCAUGGGAAGGCCGGUCAGAGAGUGUGAGAACCACGUAGGUGAAAACGGAGAGAGCUGCGCAGGAUCCAGAGUACGGCCAGACACGUGAAACCUGGUCGGAAUACGGGGGGACCACCCUCCAACCCUAAAUACUACCCAGUGACCGAUAGCGUAUAGUACUGUGAAGGAAAGGUGAAAAGCACCCCGGGAGGGGAGUGAAAAAGAACCUGAAACCCUGUGCCUACAAGCACCUAGAGCACGUCAAUGUGUGAUAGGGUACUUUUUGUAGAACGGUCCGGCGAGCGAUUGUAUGCAGCAAGGUUAAGGACUUAAGGUCUGGAGCCGAAGCGAAAGCGAGUUUGAAAAGGGCGUUAAGUUGCAUACAAUGGGCCCGAAACCGGGUGACCUACCCAUGGUCAGGUUGAAGUGGAAGUAAAAUUCCAUGGAGGACCGAACCGACCUCCGUUGAAAAGGCGGCGGAUGAACUGUGGGUAGCGGAGAAAUUCCAAUCGAACCCGGAGAUAGCUGGUUCUCCCCGAAAUAGUUUUAGGACUAGCCUCAAGUUAGAUACCUGGAGGUAAAGCACUGAAUAGCCUAGCGGCCGAGAGGUUAGCGAAGCUUAUCAAACUCAGAAUGCCAGAGUAUUGAUGCUUGGGAGUCAGACAGUGUCAGAUAAAUGUCAUUGUCAAAAGGGAAACAGCCCAGAUCUACAGCUAAGGUCCCAAAGUCAGGUUAAGUGGAAAACGAUGUGAAGAUACGCAGACAACCAGGAUGUUGGCUCAGAAGCAGCCACUCAUUCAAAGAGUGCGUAAUAGCUCACUGGUCGAGCGUCUUUGCGCGGAGAAUUUAACGGGGCUAAACCUGACACCGAAGCUUAGGCAAUACAGCAAUGUAUUGGGUAGGGGAGCGUUGUAUACGCGGUGAAACAGUAGCGCAAGCGGCUGUGGAGUGUAUAGAAGUGAGAAUGCCGGAAUGAGUAGCGCGAAUGCAGUGAGAAUCUGCAUGGCCGAAAGCCUCAGGUUUCUGGAGGAAGGUUCGUCCGCUCCAGGUUAGUCGGGAGCUAAGGUGAGGCCUAACGGCGUAGCCGAUGCACAGACGGUAGAGAUUCCGUCACCACCAAAAGAGUUAAGCACAGGGACACAUUUGAAGUCUCAGAGCCGGGUGUUGGUUCCGGUAGAGAUCGAGGGAAAUUAGUACCGAAGUCUGAGAUGGAAGAUGGCGAGAAAAGCUGUGUGUAUUUCUGAGGUGCCCGUACCGCAAACCGACACAGGUAGGUAGGAAGAAGAUUCUAAGGCCAACGGGAGAAGGGUUGUUAAGGAACUCGGCAAAUUGACCCCGUAACUUCGGGAGAAGGGGUGCUCCAGAGAUGGAGCCGCAGAGAAUCGGCCCAAGCAACUGUUUACCAAAAACACAGGUUUGUGCUAAAUCGAAAGAUGACGUAUACGAGCUGACGCCUGCCCGGUGCUGGAAGGUUAAGAGGAGAUGUGCAAGCAUUGAAUCGAAGCCCCAGUGAACGGCGGCCGUAACUAUAACGGUCCUAAGGUAGCGAAAUUCCUUGUCAGGUAAG
rnacentral:rRNA from 1 species